rnacentral:rRNA from 1 species
UACGAAGGGGGCUAGCGUUGCUCGGAAUUACUGGGCGUAAAGCGCACGUAGGCGGCUUCUUAAGUCGGUGGUGAAAUCCUGGAGCUCAACUCCAGAACUGCCUUCGAUACUGGGAAGCUCGAGUCCGGGAGAGGUGAGUGGAACUGCGAGUGUAGAGGUGAAAUUCGUAGAUAUUCGCAAGAACACCAGUGGCGAAGGCGGCUCACUGGCCCGGUACUGACGCUGAGGUGCGAAAGCGUGGGGAG